UACGUAGGGGGCGAGCGUUGUCCGGAUUCAUUGGGCGUAAAGAGCUCGUAGGCGGUUUGGCAAGUCGGAUGUGAAAUCUCCAGGCUCAACCUGGAGCGGCCAUUCGAUACUGCUAUGACUAGAGUCCAGUAGGGGAGUGUGGAAUUCCCGGUGUAGCGGUGAAAUGCGUAGAUAUUGGGAAGAACACCAGUGGCGUAAGCGUCUUGCUGGGCUGUAACUGACGCUGGAGGAACGAAAGCGUGGGGAGCAAACAGG
rnacentral:rRNA from 1 species